CCUACGGGAGGCUGCAGUGGGGAAUAUUGGACAAUGGGCGAAAGCCUGAUCCAGCCAUGCCGCGUGUGUGAAGAAGGCCUUCGGGUUGUAAAGCACUUUCAGUGGGGAAGAAAGCCUUGGGGCUAAUACCCUCGAGGAAGGACAUCACCCACAGAAGAAGCACCGGCUAACUCCGUGCCAGCAGCCGCGGUAAUACGGAGGGUGCGAGCGUUAAUCGGAAUUACUGGGCGUAAAGCGCGCGUAGGCGGUCUGAUAAGCCGGUUGUGAAAGCCCCGGGCUCAACCUGGGAACGGCAUCCGGAACUGUCAGGCUAGAGUGCAGGAGAGGAAGGUAGAAUUCCCGGUGUAGCGGUGAAAUGCGUAGAGAUCGGGAGGAAUACCAGUGGCGAAGGCGGCCUUCUGGACUGACACUGACGCUGAGGUGCGAAAGCGUGGGAAGCAAACAGGAUUAGAUACCCGGGUAGUC
rnacentral:rRNA from 1 species